rnacentral:rRNA from 1 species
GAUGAACGCUGGCGGCGUGCUUAACACAUGCAAGUCGAACGGAAAGGCCCAAGCUUGCUUGGGUACUCGAGUGGCGAACGGGUGAGUAACACGUGGGUGAUCUGCCCUGCACUUCGGGAUAAGCCUGGGAAACUGGGUCUAAUACCGGAUAGGACCACAUUUUGGAUGGUGUGGUGGGAAGUUUUUCGGUGUGGGAUGAGCUCGCGGCCUAUCAGCUUGUUGGUGGGGUAAUGGCCUACCAAGGCGUUGACGGGUAGCCGGCCUGAGAGGGUGUACGGCCACAUUGGGACUGAGAUACGGCCCAGACUCCUACGGGAGGCAGCAGUGGGGAAUAUUGCACAAUGGGCGCAAGCCUGAUGCAGCGACGCCGCGUGGGGGAUGACGGCCUUCGGGUUGUAAACUCCUUUCGCUAGGGACGAAGCGCAAGUGACGGUACCUGGAGAAGAAGCACCGGCUAACUACGUG